GAGAAUCUAUUUAAACUAGCAGCAAACAAAACACGUUUGUCAAAGGGACAGACAUCAGUCGAGUCAUUAGUCCUGUGAAUUUGUGCUUAAUGUGCCAUGACUAAGCCUUGAUGCAGUCUCUUCACUGACUGUUAUGACUGCAUUGAGUUCCUGCUGUUUAGAAAGGAUUUCAGAAUUUAGCAGCGCUGAAAAAAAGAGAGGACAAAAAUCAUCUAGUCUUUAUUAGGUCUUAGUUGCCCCUGACUGUAAACCCAGUCCCUUCUACCUGUUGUGAAGAAAAAGAGUCCAUCACGAG